rnacentral:lncRNA from 1 species
UUUUAACAUACAUGCCAUGUGCAUUAUUCACACAACUUUUAUUUCUCUCAUUCUUCCAUUCUAUAUAUCUGCAUUUGUUUCAUCAGAGAAUUUGCUUCUUUAACGAAAUUCCUGACUAAUGCAAAUAGCUGCUUCAUUAAUUUUAUGGCAAACACAAUUGUAGCUGGAGGUGUUCCAUCUUUUGGAUUACUUGGAAUCUGCAGAAUGCCACAGCAUCAAGCAACACCAAUUUGUGGGUACUUCAUCCUCCCAACACUAUUGUAUUUGUCUGUGGGCCUGUCAGAAAUAGCUCUCAUUUCUGAGGCAGUGGUACGGAUUCCAAACGUUCGACCCUCCUAGAUCUCAUUGUGUG